rnacentral:tRNA from 1 species
GGAGGGGUGCCCGAGCGGCCGAAGGGGCACGACUGGAAAUCGUGUGUGCGGGCUAAACCCCGCACCGUGGGUUCGAAUCCCACCCCCUCCG